rnacentral:tRNA from 1 species
GGGGCUAUAGCUCAGCUGGGAGAGCGCCUGGAUCGCACCCAGGAGGUCGCCGGUUCGAGUCCGGCUAGCUCCACCA